GAGUUUGAUCCUGGCUCAGAACGAACGCUGGCGGCGUGCCUAACACAUGCAAGUCGAGCGCGAAAGUCCUUCGGGAUGAGUAGAGCGGCGCACGGGUGAGUAACACGUGGGUAAUCUGCCCUAGGGUCCGGGAUAACUCGGGGAAACUCGAGCUAAUACUGGAUAAGACCACGACUCGAAAGAGCUGUGGUAAAAGCGGGGGACUUCUUCGGAAGCCUCGCACCUAAGGAUGAGCCCGCGUCCCAUCAGCUAGUUGGUAGGGUAAUGGCCUACCAAGGCGAAGACGGGUAGCUGGUCUGAGAGGAUGAUCAGCCACACUGGAACUGAGACACGGUCCAGACUCCUACGGGAGGCAGCAGUGGGGAAUAUUGCGCAAUGGGCGAAAGCCUGACGCAGCAACGCCGUGUGAGUGAUGAAGGCCUUCGGGUCGUAAAGCUCUGUCGGCAGGAACGAGGGGUGGUUGGGUGAAUAUCCCAACUGUCUGACGGUACCUGCAAAGGAA
rnacentral:rRNA from 1 species